rnacentral:rRNA from 1 species
UGAGUACGAGAUGCUACGGCAUCGAAGCAGUCUAUGUCAUACUUCCAAGAAAAGCUUGCAAUGUCAUAAACAAAUAAUGCCUGUACCAUAACCGACACAGGUGGGUAGGUAGAGUAUACUAAGGGGCGCGAGAUAACUCUCUCUAAGGAACUCGGCAAAAUGACUCCGUAACUUCGGGAGAAGGAGUGCCUUAUUUUUAUAAGGUUGCAAUAACAAGAUCCAAGCAACUGUUUACCAAAAACACAGGUCUCCGCUAAGUCGUAAGACGAUGUAUGGGGGCUGACGCCUGCCCAGUGCCAGAAGGUUAAAGAAGUUGGUUAGCAUUAGCGAAGCUGAUAACUGAAGCCCUGGUGAACGGCGGCCGUAACAAUAACGGUCCUAAGGUAGCGAAAUUCCUUGUCGGGUAAGUUCCGACCCGCACGAAAGGCGUAAUGAUUUGGAUACUGUCUCGGAGAGGGGCUCGGUGAAAUAGACUUGUCUGUGAAGAUGCGGACUACCUGCACCUGGACAGAAAGACCCUAUGAAGCUUUACUGUAACUUGAGAUUGAAAUUGGACUUUAUCUGCGCAGUAUAGGUGGGAGACGUUGAAAAUAUUCUUGCGGGAAUAUUGGAGUCAUCAGUGAGAUACCACUCUUAUAAUGUUAGAUUUCUAACUUUGUAUCAUUAUCUGGUCAAAGAACAGUUUCAGGCGGGCAGUUUGACUGGGGCGGUCGCCUCCCAAACGGUAACGGAGGCGCACAAAGGUUUCCUCUGAACGUGUAGAAAUCGUAUCUAGAGUGUAAAGGCAUAAGGAAGCUUGACUGUGAGACCUACAAGUCGAGCAGGGACGAAAGUCGGUCUUAGUGAUCUGACGGUGCUGAGUGGAAAGGCCGUCACUCAACGGAUAAAAGUUACUCUACGGAUAACAGGCUGAUCUCCCCCAAGAGUUCACAUCGACGGGGAGGUUUGGCACCUCGAUGUCGGCUCAUCGCAUCCUGGGGCGGUAGUACGUCCCAAGGGUUGGGCUGUUCGCCCAUGAAAGCGGUACGCGAGCUGGGUUCAGAGCGUCGUGAGACAGUUCGGUCCAUAUCCGGUGUAGGCGUUAGAAUAUUGAGAGGAGCCUUCUUUAGUACGAGAGGACCGAGAAGGACAUACCUCUGGUGUACCAGUUAUCGUGCCAACGGUAAACGCUGGGUAGCCAUGUAUGGAGAGGAUAACCGCUGAAAGCAUCUAAGUGGGAAGCCCACCUCAAGAUAAGUAUUCUCAC